AUUCCCCUCCACCUUUAUACUCUCUACCUUCUACCUCAAUAAAAUAUUCAGGUGCCUAUAUCGGUGGUGUCCACCUCUUCCCAUUCCGAACAGAGAAGUUAAGCCCACCAGAGCCGAUGGUACUGCGGUAACACGUGGGAGAGUAGGUCGGUGCCAGAU
rnacentral:rRNA from 1 species